UCACUACUUGCGUAGGCAGUCUUGCUAGAGUCCCCGCCAUCACGCGCUGGUAACUAGCAACAGGGGUUGCGCUCGUUGCGGCACUUAAGCCAACAUCUCACGGCACGAGCUGACGACAGCCAUGCAGCACCUGUGCUAGCCCCUUACGGACACGGGCUUUCACCCGCUUUAACUAGCAUGUCAAGCCUGGGUAAGGUUCUUCGCGUUGCAUCGAAUUAAGCCACAUGCUCCGCCGCUUGUGCGGGCCCCCGUCAAUUCCUUUGAGUUUUAGUCUUGCGGCCGUACUCCCCAGGCGGAACACUUAACGCGUUGGCUGCGGCACAGAGGGAUUCGACUCCCCCCACACCUAGUGUUCAUCGUUUACGGCUAGGACUAC
rnacentral:misc_RNA from 1 species